rnacentral:rRNA from 2 species
GAUGAAUAAGGGGUGGGCAAGUUCUGGUGUCAGCCGCCGCGGUAAAACCAGCACCUCAAGUGGUCAGGAGGAUUAUUGGGCCUAAAGCAUCCGUAGCCUGCUUUGUUAGUUUUCGGUUAAAUCUAUGUGCUCAACGCAUAGGCCGCCGAAAAUACUGCAGGGCUAGGGAGUGGGAGAGGUAGACGGUACUCAGUAGGAAGGGGUAAAAUCCUUUGAUCUAUUGAUGACCACCUGUGGCGAAGGCGGUCUACCAGAACACGUUCGACGGUGAGGGAUGAAAGCUGGGGGAGCAAACCGGAUUAGAUACCCGGGUAGUCCCAGCUGUAAACGAUGCAGACUCGGUAAUGCAUUGGCAUAUAGCUAGUGCAGUGUCGCAGGAAAGCCGUUAAGUCUGCCGCCUGGGAAGUACGUACGCAAGUAUGAAACUUAAAGGAAUUGGCGGGGGAGCACCACAAGCAGGGAAGCCUGCGGUUCAAUUGGAGUCAACGCCAGAAAUCUUACCCGGAGAGACAGCAGAAUGAAGGUCAAGCUGACGAGUUUACCAGACAAGCUGAGAGGUGGUGCAUGGCCGUCGCCAGCUCGUGCUGUGAGAUGUCCUGUUAAGUCAGGUAACGAAACAGAUGCUUCCCAUUAGUGGAUAUCAUUAGUCUCAGGAAUAGUGGGUUGAAUUAGUGGGAAUGCCGUUGUUAAAACGGAGGAAGGAAGGGGCUAGGGCAGGUCAGUAUGACCCGAAAUUCUGGGGCCACACGCGGGCGCAAUGGUAGUGACAAUGAGUUCCAAACUCGAAAGAAAGAGGCAAUCUUUGAACACUGCCCCAGUUAUGACUGAGGGAUGCAACUUGCCCUCACGCAUAUGGAAUCCCUUGUUACCCCGUGUCAUUUCCGCGCGGUGAAUACGUCCCUGCUCCUUGCACACUCCGCCCGUUGUUUCAUCGAA